CUAUACAAAAUGCUUUAAUUUACUGUAACUGCAUCUGAUAAAUAUGUAACGUUAUAUGAUGCGUUUGAAUAAGUUAACUGUUUUAUGGGUGUGUUUUGUCACAUGUACAUACACCCACGCAUCUUUAAUUGGGCGGAUUGCAUGAAGUUACUGACACGUUAGAGUGAGCAAAGAAUCAUGGAUCAAUGAAAAAUUAAGAGCUUGAUUAUUUUAAAACCGCUAUUAGCCGCGAAACAGAACUGAAAUCGUUAAUCCCACAACGGCUUUCUGUGCUUGUACACCGGAGGCACGCGCACGAGACCCACAGCGUCAGCACUGUCUCCUGCCGUUUGAAUAUUAAAAUAUAUACACAAAAUAUGUCGAAAAUGUCCGUCUUAAUUAGCUUAAACAUAACACAGUGACUUAUGAAUUAAGAGAGUGUAAACUUUUGGGAGUACAUUAGAUUUGAGUCAAUACACUGAAAAAAAGUGCACAUGGCAUGUCAUUACUCUAAAGAAGUCGUUAUAACGUUACUUGAUCUAACUCAAAACAUUACAUUUUCUGUCUAGCCAUCAGUGUUAUGUAAAUAUUUGGUCAAUUUAAAAUUAAAAGAAUGUAUUGUUAGUGUAAAAUAUACAUUUCUGUAAAUUGAAAUUUAAAAUAUUGGUUCCCAUUGUCACGUGAUUUAUAACGUAAUCCGUGGUCAUGCGUGAGGACGUUCAGCAUUCUUGUUAAACCGCAUGGAUGAACUCGGCGUGGUAAAACGUGAAUAAAGAAAAUUGGACGGGGUACUGCUGAACAACAAUUAGGACAGGUUUUGAAUAAUCCAGUCACAUGAAAAACAUUAAUGCAGAAUUUUUUCGCAUCACGACCUUACCUCUACAGA